rnacentral:rRNA from 1 species
UGAGUGGCGAACGGGUGAGUAAUACGUGAGUAACCUGCCCUUGACUCUGGGAUAAGCCCGGGAAACUGGGUCUAAUACUGGAUGCUACAUGUCACCGCAUGGUGGUGUGUGGAAAGGGUUUACUGGUCUUGGAUGGGCUCACGGCCUAUCAGCUUGUUGGUGAGGUAAUGGCUCACCAAGGCGACGACGGGUAGCCGGCCUGAGAGGGUGACCGGCCACACUGGGACUGAGACACGGCCCAG